CCUACGGGUGGCUGCAGUGGGGAAUAUUGGACAAUGGGCGAAACCCUGAUCCAGCGACGCCGCGUGAGUGAAGAAGUAUUUCGGUACGUAAAGCUCUAUCAGCAGGGAAGAAAAUGACGGUACCUGACUAAGAAGCCCCGGCUAACUACGUGCCAGCAGCCGCGGUAAUACGUAGGGGGCAAGCGUUAUCCGGAUUGACUGGGUGUAAAGGGAGCGUAGACGGAAGCGCAAGUCUGGAGGGAAAUGCCGGGGCCAAACCCCGGAACUGCUGUGGAAACUGUGAGGCUGGAGUGCAGGAGAGGUAAGCGGAAUUCCUGGUGUAGCGGUGAAAUGCGUAGAUAUGAGGAGGAACACCGGCGGCGAAGGCAGCUUACUGGACUGUAACUGACGUUGAGGCUCGAAGGCGUGGGGAGCAAACAGGAUUAGAUACCCGUGUAGUC
rnacentral:rRNA from 1 species